CCCAGACUCCUACGGGAGGCAGCAGUGGGGAAUAUUGCACAAUGGGGGGAACCCUGAUGCAGCGACGCCGCGUGGGUGAAGGAGUACUUCGGUACGUAAAGCCCUAUCAGCAGGAAAGAAAAUGACGGUACCUGACUAAGAAGCCCCGGCUAACUACGUGCCAGCAGCCGCGGUAAUACGUAGGGGGCAAGCGUUAUCCGGAUUUACUGGGUGUAAAGGGAGCGUAGACGGCAGUGCAAGUCCGGAGUGAAAGCCCGGGGCUCAACCCUGGGACUGCUCUGGAAACUGUAAGGCUGGAGUGCGGGAGGGGCAGGCGGAAUUCCUGGUGUAGCGGUGAAAUGCGUAGAUAUCAGGAGGAACACCGGCGGCGAAGGCGGCCUGCUGGACCGUAACUGACGUUGAGGCUCGAAAGCGUGGGGAGCAAACAGGAUUAGAUACCCUGGUA
rnacentral:rRNA from 1 species